CUUUUGUGGAGUUUUGUGGAGUGAGUCCAGGAUAUGGUUCCAGGGCCUGAAAGCUAUUGUGUAGAGGCACGUGGGGAGCUGAGGAUGGUCAGGAUCAGGGAUGCCCACUUUGCUGAAAUGUGACAACAACUGCCCUCCCAGUGUUGGCACGUGAAUGGAUAGCCUACGGUUUCUCCUCAUUGGAACGGCCCGACUCCUCCUUUCUGUCCCUUUCUAGUCAUGCCCUGGCAACGCCCAUGACGUGUCAGCCACUCUCGCGAGAACUGCCCAGCCGAGAGCUACCCGACCACUGUUGUUUCAUUGAUCCCUGAAUGAGGGAAUGACCAAAACCCCCCGUACCUCGCAAUCAGUUGCUGCAGACAACUGGAACAGCUCCAAAGCAGCGAACCUCGCCAAUCAAGGG